AUAAAAAGAAACUAAUUAAUAUUCAAAAAUCUAACUAAUAAUUAAAAACUAACCAAUAUUAAAAAACUAACUAAUUCUUAAUUAAAUAACUAAUAUUUUUUUUAAAACACUAACUAAUUAUUUUAAUUUAAAUAUCUAAACAAAAAGAAAAUUACCAAUUAAAAAUUGAGUACAAAUUAUAAAUCACACCAAAAUUAUCAGCACAAAACACAUUAUUUGAAAA
rnacentral:lncRNA from 1 species